rnacentral:rRNA from 1 species
UGCGUAGGCGGUAUAGUAAGACUUGGGUGAAAUCUCCAUGCUUAACGUGGAGGGAGCCUGGGAGACUGCUGUGCUAGAGGAUUGGAAGGGAGACUGGAAUUCUUGGAGUAGCAGUGAAAUGCGUAGAUAUCAAGAGGAACACCAGUGGCGAAGGCGAGUCUCUGGACAAGACCUGACGCUGAGGUGCGAAAGCGUGGGGAGCAAACA